GGGCUACAAGCCGUCGCUGGGGGCGGGGCUUGCGGCCCACCUGUAGGUCCCGGUGCCACCUCGUCAGUGUCCCGAGAGAUCCCCAGAAGAACGAGAGGGCUGAACAGGGGACCCCACUGACGUCCGGUCUCUAUGAAGUCAGAGCUAUUACUAUCAGCAUUUUACCCAUGAAGAAACCGAGGUUUAGAGAGAUUCUUUUCCAGGAACUGGAUAGCCAGCAAGAUGUGAAGCAGGAUGAAGAAACUAAGACUCAGAGAAGACAAAUGACAUGCCCAAAGACACAUUGAUAAGAACGCAUCUGGUAGUGGUGUUCGAGUCCAGCGUUGCAGCAGAGAGAUGGGUAACUGUAUGGCCGAACAGCUGUCUUCUCGUGGAAGAAGGAGGCCAAUGUCCAGGAGUGGCAGGCAUACUGGAACUUGGACUUCUGUAGGCCAACCUGGGUUCCACUUGGUAGAUGGGGGUCUUGCUGUGUUGCCCAGGCUGGUCUCAAACUCCUGGCCUGAAGCAGUCCUCCUCCCUUAGCCUCCAGAGUAGCUGGGACUACAGGUACACACCACUGCAACCCCUCAGUGGUUGUUAUUUAACUGAAGGGGGUUUUAGCUUUCAUGUAUCAGCUCACUCUGGAGCCAGACAGCCUGGCCUUCAUGGCAGCUCUGCCCCUUACUACCUGUGUGACAUCGGGCAACGUUACUGAGUGUCAGAUUUCUUAUUUGUAAAACAGGGAUAAAAAUGACAUUGCUGUGCAAAUUAAAAGAAAGAAUCCAUGUGAGAUAUUUAGCACACUGGCAUACAAUGAGAGCUUAAUAAACAUUGUUAGUUUUGUAAACUGAGGGAAAAAAAUAGCCACAGGCCUGGGAACAUAAAUGCUUGGUAAGCUUCUCAGUUCCCUGGAAGUCUGACACGCAAUGUGUAUGUAUGAACAAGGCAGGAGGAAGCAUGACACCAAGCCUUCCUUUUAACAAACACUGUUUAAAUCAGAGGUCGGAAGUCAUGGACUGGAGAUUCAUUCUCUCCCCACUCAUUUCUGCCCAGAGACACCUGGUGAUCUGGCAUACACAGUGCUAUGAACCUCAGAAUUAUUUGCUAGCAUUUACAAAUUGUGAGUACUCCCACAUACAAACUGUGGUAGAUGGAAUAAUGCCUCCCCACAAAAAUGUCCACAGCCUAAUCCCUGGAACCUGGGAAUAUGUUACUUUACACAGCAAAGGAAUGUUGCAGCUGUGAUUGGAGAUUGAGAUAGGGAGAGUGUAUUAGUCUGUUGUCAUGCGGCUAUGAAGAAAUACCUGAGACUGGGUAAUUUACAAAGAAAAGAGGUUUAAUUCACUUACAGCUCAGCACGGCUGGUUGGGGGGGCGCCCUCAGGAAAUUUACAAUCAUGGUAGGAGGCACCUCUUCACAGGGUGGCAGGAGAGAAAAUAAGAGCAGAGCGAAGGGGGAACCCCUUAUAAAACUGUCAGAUCUCAUGAGAACUCACUGUCAUGAGAACAGCAUGGGGGAAACCGCCCCCAUGAUCCAUCACCUCCACCUGGUCCCCCCCUUGUUACAAUUCAAGGGGAUU
rnacentral:lncRNA from 1 species